GAGUGAACGCUAGGGCGGGCGUGCCUAAUACAUGCAAGUCGAGCGAACUGACGAGGAGCUUGCUCCUUUGACGUUAGCGGCGGACGGGUGAGUAACACGUGGGUAACCUACCUAUAAGACUGGAAUAACUCCGGGAAACCGGGGCUAAUGCCGGAUAACAUAUCGAACCGCAUGGCUCGAUAGUGAAAGACGGUCUUGCUGUCACUUAUAGAUGGACCCGCGCCAUAUUAGCUAGUUGGUGAGGUAACGGCUCACCAAGGCGACGAUACGUAGCCGACCUGAGAGGGUGAUCGGCCACACUGGAACUGAGACACGGUCCAG
rnacentral:rRNA from 1 species